rnacentral:lncRNA from 10 species
ACCAGGCCUGCUCAUGCCUCCAGGCCUUUACACGUUCUGCUAGUCUCCUUAAAAUGCUUUUCCCACUUCUUUCCCUGGCAAACUCUAGGCCCUUCUUCCAAACUCAGCUCAGAUGCUACCUCCUGCAGGAAGCCCUCCCUGGUUGCAUCAGUCUUAAUUAAGUGGUCAUCCUGUGUGGUCCCGUGGUAUGCUGCACACAAUACUGUAGGUUAGGAAGGGGUUUGACCCCUAGCUCUG